rnacentral:rRNA from 1 species
GCGGCCCAUUAGCUAGUUAGUGGGGUCAAGGCCUACCAAGGCAACGAUGGGUAGCUGGUCUGAGAGGACGAUCAGCCACACUGGGACUGAGACACGGCCCAGACUCCUACGGGAGGCAGCAGUGGGGAAUCUUUGCGCAAUGCGCGAAAGCGUGACGCAGCAACACCGCGUGAGGGAAGACGGCCUUAGGGUUGUAAACCUCUUUCAGAUGGGACGAAGGUGAUGCGGUGAAUAGCCGAUGUCAUUGACGGUACCGUCAGAAGAAGCUCCGGCUAACUACGUG